CAUCUGAACCUAACCCAAAGCUAAUAACCUUUAAAACAUCAGGCAUGGGUGUAUUAAAUACUGCAAGCAGCAUGUGAAAUAUCAUCUCGUGAAGACAGAAGAGAGUCUAAAGACCAAGACAUCAGCGUUUAUUUUCUAAAAGAGUUUGGUUUUACAUUCUGCAUUACAUGGCCAACUAAAGGGAAUGGAAGAUGCACUCAUGGCUUUAGAGGUAUUAUCACAAUAUUACAUCAAAUACCCUGGCAUAUUGGAGGCUAUGGCAACGCAUAACGCUAAUACUCCGUUUUGUUCUAGCACAUGUGCUACUUUUGGAGAGCCUGAAAAGAUGCCAAUAACGGUAGAAACGCCUCAGGUUCCAUGGGCAUACAUAUACUUUAAUGUGAUUGGCUCUCAGAUCCAGAUAUAAGAUUAAGUGAAUCACCGAGGCCCGAAUUACACGAAUAUGGAAGAAUAUCGGGUGUGUGCUUUGAAUCUUUGAUGCAGCCCUUGGAAUUACUAAGGGGCUCAAGGUAAUAUUUUGGAUUUUGGUAAUUCUGUCUUUGAAAAUAGAUAUUAUACAGAGUAUUUAACCAAGCAUAAUCUGAUAUCGACACAAAAAUUUCAUUACCCCAGGUUGUACGCCUAAGUAAAAAACAUAUUAUUUUCAUAAUUUCUGUUGUGUAAAAGCUUCAAAAGCUGCCGUAAAAACUUUAAUGGUAUAUGUAUGUCUGAAAAUAUGUUUUGAUAUUUUGUACCAACGGGCUUAAUACGGAAAGUGUUGUCCCAUGUUUGAUUCGCCUCUGGUUUCAAUCUAGGUGGCUUGUUAAAAAGAAAAAUGGUAAUGGUAAUCACUCAUUUCUCAAUCCAAACACAAAAGGCAACAAUGGGAAAUCCAAACAAAGGCACAACAAAUACCAUAACAUAACACAAAACACGACUAAGAGAGCACAAAAAUUACACGAAAAACAUGCAACGAAGGCGGAUUUGGUGUAAAUACAGUUGGAGUAUAGAUCAAGUAGAGUAGGAUAGGUAUAUGGGUGUGGCCAUGUGGGUUGGGGUAUAAAAUACAUCAGAAUGAUAGUCACUUACACCUGAACACUCGAGACCAAAUAUUAUGAUUUUCAUGUAGUAGUAGUAGUAACCAGUUUUAAGGCCCUCCUUGCUACUGAGAGUGAUCAUCAAAAUGUACCACAUGUAUGGAAAUAUUGUUGAAAGGGAUGAUCACAACUUAAAGAAUCAAAAUCAGGUACAA